rnacentral:rRNA from 1 species
UACGGAGGGGGCGAGCGUUAUUCGGAAUUAUUGGGCGUAAAGGGCUCGUAGGCGGCCAACUAAGUCGGACGUGAAAUCCCCAGGCUCAACCUGGGAACUGCGUCCGAUACUGGAUGGCUUGAAUUCGGGAGAGGGAUGCAGAAUUCCAGGUGUAGCGGUGAAAUGCGUAGAUAUCUGGAGGAAUACCGGUGGCGAAGGCGGCAUCCUGGACCGACAUUGACGCUGAUGAGCGAAAGCUAGGGGAGCAAACGGG